AACGAACGCUGGCGGCAUGCCUAACACAUGCAAGUCGAACGAGACCAUCGGGUCUAGUGGCGCACGGGGGCGGAGCGCGGGGGAACCUGCCGGUAGGUUCGGAAUAACUCCUCUAAAGGGGGGCUAAUACCGGGUAACGUCUUCGGACAAAAUAUUUGACGCCUUGGGGUGGGCAGGCGUUGUCUUGGCUUGGUGCGAUGGUAAGAGCCUACCACGGCGACGCUCCAUAGCUGGUCUCUGAGGCUGAGCGGCCACACUGGGACGGAGACACGGCCCAGAAUACUACGGGAGGCAGCCGUGGGUAAUACUGGACAACGGGCGAAAGCCUGAUCCAGCAAUGCCGCGUGAGUGAUGAUGGCCUUAGGGUAGUAAAGCUCUUUUACCCGGGAUGAUAAUGACAGUACCGGAAGAAUAAGCACCGGCUAACUUCGUG
rnacentral:rRNA from 1 species